rnacentral:rRNA from 1 species
UGGGGUGACGGCGUGCCUAUCGAAAAAUGAGUCUGCGAGUCAGUGGUGCGUGGCGAGGCUAACCCGUGGUGGGGGAGCCGUAGCGAAGGCGAGUCUCAAAAGGCGUUUUGAGUCGCGCGCCCUGGACCCGAAGCGGGAUGAUCUAGCCCUGGGCAGGUUGAAGCGCGGGUAAGACCGCGUGGAGGACCGAACCCACCUGGGUUGAAAACCGGGGGGAUGACCUGGGGCUAGGGGUGAAAGGCCAAUCAAAUUCCGUGAUAGCUGGUUCUCUCCGAAAUGCAUUUAGGUGCAGCGUCGGUUGAUUGCAUCGCGGGGGUAGAGCUACUGGAUGCUUGCGGGCCCGUGUCGGGUACCAAUAGCAGCCAAACUCCGAAUACCGUGGAUGUGUAUUCCGGCAGUGAGUCGGCGGGGGAUAAGCUCCGUCGUCGAGAGGGAGACAGCCCAGAUCGUCGUCUAAGGUCCCGAAGCGUGUGCUAAGUGGGAAAGGAUGUGGAGUCGCAUAGACAGCCAGGAGGUUGGCUCAGAAGCAGCCAUCCUUGAAAGAGUGCGUAACAGCUCACUGGUCUAGUGGUUCCGCGCCGACAAUGUAGCGGGGCUCAAGCACACCACCGAAGACGCGGCAACGGUCGUAUGGCCGUUGGGUAGGAGAGCGUCCCGCGUGGGGCGAAGCGGCCGGGGAACCGUGCCGUGGACCGCGCGGGAGUGAGAAUGCAGACAUGAGUAGCGAGAGACGGGUGAGGAUCCCGUCCGCUGGAUGACCAAGGGUUCCGGGGCCACGUUCGUCGUCCCCGGGUGAGUCGGGUCCUAAGGCGAGGCCGACAGGCGUAGUCGAAUGGAUGAACGGGUGGAUAUUCCCGUACCGGCGGCGUACCGUAAGAGCCGAACGGAUGAGUACUAACCUCCGGUCGCGUGGCGUCGUUCCCUUCGGGGUUCGGGGUCCGCGGUCGUUGGGAGCGUAGUCCUGGUAGGCUAGCGCACAGGGGUGACACGGAAUGGGAGCCGGCCGCGGAGGUGGUUUUCCGUGGUCAAGCACGCAGCCCGUCCCAUAGGCAAAUCCGUGGGACGCAUAGGGUGAGGUGUGAUGAUGGGCGUCCUUUGGACGCGAUAUCCGGUGGUCCAGGCCGUCGAGAAAAGCCUCGGCGCGAGGGGCGUCGCCGCCCGUACCCCAAACCGACACUGGUGGUCAGGUAGAGAAUACCAAGGCGAUCGAGCGAAUCCUGGUCAAGGAACUCGGCAAAUCACUCCCGUGCCUUCGGUAUAAGGGAGACCCCCGGGCGUGAAGAGGCUUGCCCUCGGAGCGUUGGGGGGUGGCACAGACCAGGGGGUAGCGACUGUUUACCAAAAACACAGGUGCAUGCGAAGGCGCAAGCCGCUGUAUAUGCACUGACGCCUGCCCGGUGCCGGAAGGUUAAGAGGAUCCGUCAGCCCCUUUUGGGGUGAAGCGGUGAAUUCAAGCCCCGGUAAACGGCGGUGGUAACUAUAACCAUCCUAAGGUAGCGAAAUUCCUUGUCGGGUAAGUUCCGACCUGCACGAAUGGCGUAACGACUUCCCCACUGUCUCGACCAGGAGCUCGGCGAAAUUGCAGUACGAGUAAAGAUGCUCGUUAAGCGCAGAAGGACGAAAAGACCCCGGGACCUUUACUAUACCUUGGUAUUGGCGUUAGGCGCGGAUUGUGUAGCAUAGGCGGGAGGCUUCGAAGCGCGGGCGCCAGCCCGUGUGGAGCCGCAAGGUGAAAUACCGCUCUGUUCUCGUUUGACGUCUCACCUCGAACAGUCAUCCUGUUCAGGGACAGUGCCUGGCGGGUAGUUUAACUGGGGCGGUUGCCUCCCAAAGAGUAACGGAGGCGCUCAAAGGUCCGCUCAGCCCGGUUGGCAAUCGGGUUUCGAGUGUAAUCGCACAAGCGGGCUUGACUGCGAGAACGACGGUUCGGGCAGGGACGAAAGUCGGAGAUAGUGAUCCGGUGCCGGCGCACGGGCGCGGCAUCGCUCAACGGAUAAAAGGUACCCCGGGGAUAACAGGCUGAUCAUUCCCAAGAGUCCAUAUCGACGGGAUGGUUUGGCACCUCGAUGUCGGCUCGUCGCAUCCUGGGGCUGGAGCAGGUCCCAAGGGUUCGGCUGUUCGCCGAUUAAAGCGGCACGCGAGCUGGGUUCAGAACGUCGUGAGACAGUUUGGUCUCUAUCCUCUGCGCUCGUUGGAAUCCUGAGGAGGCCUGCCCAUAGUACGAGAGGACCUGGGUGGACGGACCUCUGGUAUGCCGGUUGUCGCGCCAGCGGCAUGGCCGGUUGGCUACGUUCGGGAGGGAUAACCGCUGAAAGCAUCUAAGCGGGAAGCCUGCUCCAAGAUUAGGAUUCCUUGACGCUCCCCGGAGCGUUUGU